rnacentral:tRNA from 1 species
GUGCGCAUAGCUCAGCUGGAUAGAGCGUCUGACUACGGAUCAGAAGGCCGAGAGUUCGAAUCUUUCUGCGCACG